CCAUCUGCUGUCUUAUUUGAUAUUCCAAAUCAGAGAUUUGAGCCUGCAACCAUGUCCAACAGCAAAUGAUGGCGACUCUCUCCAUCACCCACUGGCACUCUGCAUGAUGACAUCUGGAAAGCAAGAGAACACGGAUUUGAUGGAUGAACCACUUGGUGGAUAAGGAAUUGGCUGGAGAGCUGCACUCAAGAGUUGCAGUCAACGGCUUGAUGUCCCAGUGCAGACCAGUGAGUGCUGUCCCUCAGGUGUCAGUGUUGGGACCAGUGUUGUUCAACAUCUUUGUGGGCAACAAAGGAUUGAGCAGUGCAACAAA